rnacentral:rRNA from 1 species
ACUCACGGGCGCGAUGCGCAACGCGCACACGGCACUUGGCCACUUUGGCACGAUGCACGCACGCACGCGCGCACCGCUGUGGCUUCACCAAGCUCGAGCCUACCCACCACCCGUCGCACACUACGGAGUGGUCAACCCGUAUAGCGUGGGUGCGCCAUACCUAGCUCGUUCAUCCCACCGACCCUCGAGGUUCCCUGCCUUCAACCCUGCGUAUGGGGGUGAUGCACCCAAGGAUGCAACAUCAUGCACCGAGGUGGUAUGGGUCGUGAUGAGUCCCUUUGAAUGCUAGUUUGGCCCCCAACAGGUGUCACCCAGGAAUGUCAGGUGUUUUAAGCCAUGAAACAUAAUUGGUAAGGGUGGGCAACACGUUGGGACGAGGUUGAGGUAUGUGAUUUGUGUUAGGCGUGCUGCCAAUGCGUUGGGUUCCCUUGCUCGGGCUGACCCAUGGACCCUAGAUGCGCUGUUCCAAGGCGCACACCUCGUUGCCCACCAGGCAUACCUCUCGAGUUUUCCCAACUCAGGCAACCCGUAGGCCUAGGCGCACACAUUGGUGCCCACCAGGCAUACUGCGUGGGUGUGCCUAGCCGGUCAGCCCGCACUCUCUUGCGAAGUCGUUUGCCUAGGUGCACGCCUCGGUGCCCACCUGGCAAAAUGUGUCGGUGUGCCUUGGUUGGCCAACCCGUAUGCCUCAACGGCGCCGUGUGCCUAGGCGAACAUCGCGGAGCUGUCAACCCAUACUGCAUUGGUGUGCCUUUCCUCGGUUGACUUGUGGUAGCUUUGUGCUCACCACGCAUACUGCAUGGGUGUGCCUCACCUCGGCUGACUUGUGGAACGUCGAUGCAUUGUGCCUAGGCGCACAGCUUAGUGGUUACAACCCAUACUGCACGAGUGUUCCCAGCUAGAGCAACCUGGAGGCCAUUGUUGCGUUGUGCCUAGGGAUACACCGUGGUUCACACCAGGCAUAUAGCUUAGGUAUCCUUUGCUCGGCGAACGGCAGUCCCUCGCGAUGCUAUGUACCUAUGUGCACACCUCGGUGCCCACCAGGCAAACUGUGCCGGUGUGCCUUGUUCAGGCUAUGCAUAGGCCAUCGUGGCACCGUGUGCUUAGGCGCACAACAUGGAGCCUUCAACCCAUGCUAAUUGAUUAUGCCUAGCUCGUUCAUCCCACCGGCCCUCGAGGCUCCUUGCCUUCAACCUCGCGUGUGGUGGUGAUGCACUCAAGGAUGAAACAUUGUGCACUAAGGUAGUAUGGGUCAUGAUGAGGCCAAAUGUAUGCUAGUUUUAAGACAUGAAACAUUAUUGGGAAGGUGACGAGGCUGAGGUAUGGGAUUUUUGCUAGGUGUGCUGCCGAUGCGUGGGUGUGGCUAGCUCUGGCUGACCCUUAGACCCCGGAUGCGCUCUGUCAAGUCGCUCAGCUCGACGCCAUAUGCCUAAGAGCACAUCUCGAUGCCCACCAGGCAAACUAUGUGGUUGUGCCUUGCUUGAGCAACCCGCAAGCCAUCACGGCGCCGUGUGCUUAGGCGCACACGGCUAAGCCUUCAACGCUGACUGCGUGGUGUGCCUUGUUCGAGCUGACCCGUGGACUGUAGAUGCACUGUUCCAAGGCGCACACCUCGGUUCCCACCAGGCGUACCUCGCGGUUUUUCCCAGCUCAGGCAACCCGUUGGCCUUCAUCCCACCGUGAGCCUAGGCACACACCUUCGUGCCCACCAAGCAUACUGCAUGGGUGUGCCUAGUCGGUCAGCCCGUACUCCCUCGCAACGCCGUUGGCCUAUACGCACACCUCGGUGUAACUCGCCUCUACUGACUUGUGGACCGUCGAUGCAUUGUGCCUAGGCGCACAGGUUAGUGCUCAUCACCCAUAGCUCGCGGGUGUUCCCAGCUAGGGCAACUUGGAGGCCAUUGUUGCGUUGU